GACGAACGCUGGCGGCGUGCUUAACACAUGCAAGUCGAACGGCAAGGCCCUGCUUUUGUGGGGUGCCCGAGUGGCGAACGGGUGAGUAACACGUGAGUAACCUGACCUUGACUUUGGGAUAACUUCAGGAAACUGGGGCUAAUCCCGGAUAGGAGCUCCUGCUGCUUGGUGGGGGUUGGAACGUUUCGGCGGUUGGGGAUGGACUCGCGGCUUAUCAGCUUGUUGGUGGGGUAGGGGCUUACCAAGGCCUUGACGGGUCGCCGGCCUGAGAGGGUGACCGGGCACAAUGAGACUGAGAUACGGCCCAGACUCGUACGGGAGACAGCAGUGGGGAAUAUUGCACAAUGGGCGGAAGCCUGAUGCAGCAACGCCGCGGGCGGGAUGACGGCCUUCGGGUUGGAAACCGCAGUCGCCUGUGACGAAGCGUGAGUGACGGUAAUGGAUAAAUAAGCACCGGCUAACUACGUG
rnacentral:rRNA from 1 species